rnacentral:rRNA from 1 species
AUUGAACGCUGGCGGCAGGCCUAACACAUGCAAGUCGAACGGUAACAGGAAGCAGCUUGCUGCUUCGCUGACGAGUGGCGGACGGGUGAGUAAUGUCUGGGAAACUGCCUGAUGGAGGGGGAUAACUACUGGAAACGGUAGCUAAUACCGCAUAACGUCGCAAGACCAAAGAGGGGGACCUUCGGGCCUCUUGCCAUCGGAUGUGCCCAGAUGGGAUUAGCUAGUAGGUGGGGUAACGGCUCACCUAGGCGACGAUCCCUAGCUGGUCUGAGAGGAUGACCAGCCACACUGGAACUGAGACACGGUCCAGACUCCUACGGGAGGCAGCAGUGGGGAAUAUUGCACAAUGGGCGCAAGCCUGAUGCAGCCAUGCCGCGUGUAUGAAGAAGGCCUUCGGGUUGUAAAGUACUUUGCAGCGGGGAGGAAGGCGAUAAGGUUAAUAACCUUGUCGAUUGA